rnacentral:tRNA from 1 species
GCUCUCGUAGUUCAAUGGAUAGAAUGCGAGCCUCCGAAGCUUGUGAUACAGGUUCGAUUCCUGUCGAGAGCACCA